UGGGGAAUCUUGCGCAAUGGGCGGAAGCCUGACGCAGCAACGCCGCGUGAGCGAAGACGGCCUUCGGGUUGUAAAGCUCUGUCAGGAGGGACGAAGCCACUCGGGUGAAUAGCCUAGAGGGUGACGGUACCUCCAGAGGAAGCCCCGGCUAACUACGUGCCAGCAGCCGCGGUAAUACGUAGGGGGCGAGCGUUGUCCGGAAUCAUUGGGCGUAAAGCGCGUGUAGGCGGCCAUGCAAGUCCGAUGUGAAAGCUCGGGGCUCAACUCCGAGUCUGCAUUGGAAACUGCGUGGCUUGAGUCCGGAAGAGGAGACUGGAAUUCCUGGUGUAGCGGUGAAAUGCGCAGAUAUCAGGAAGAACACCGGUGGCGAAGGCGGGUCUCUGGGACGGUACUGACGCUGAGACGCGAAAGCUAGGGUAGCAAACG
rnacentral:rRNA from 1 species